rnacentral:rRNA from 1 species
CCUACGGGUGGCUGCAGUGGGGGAUAUUGCACAAUGGGGGAAACCCUGAUGCAGCGACGCCGCGUGUAGGUAGACGGUCCUCUGGAUUGUAAACUACUUUCUCCAGGGACGAAGAUGACGGUACCUGGGGAGGCAGCUCCGGCUAACUACGUGCCAGCAGCCGCGGUAAUACGUAGGGCGCGAGCGUUGUCCGGAAUUACUGGGUGUAAGGGGAGCGUAGGCGGGGAUGCAAGUUGGGUGUUAAAUCUACCGGCUCAACUGGUAGUCGCACUCAAAACUGCAGCUCUUGAGUGAAGUAGAGGCAGGCGGAAUGCCUAGUGUAGCGGUGAAAUGCGUAGAUAUUAGGAGGAACACCAGUGGCGAAGGCGGCCUGCUGGGCUUUGACUGACGCUGAGGCUCGAAAGUGUGGGGAGCAAACAGGAUUAGAUACCCUGGUAGUC